rnacentral:tRNA from 1 species
GUUUUUGUAGCUUAUUUCAAAGCAUUAGUCUUGUAAACUAAAAAUAGAGGCUAGCCCCUCUCUCAAACU